rnacentral:rRNA from 1 species
GACGAACGCUGGCGGCGUGCUUAACACUUGCAAGUCGAACGGAAAGGCCCUGCUUUUGUGGGGUGCUCGAGUGGCGAACGGGUGAGUAACACGUGAGUAACCUGCCCUUGACUUUGGGAUAACUUCAGGAAACUGGGGCUAAUACCGGAUAGGAGCUCCUGCUGCAUGGUGGGGGUUGGAAAGUUUCGGCGGUUGGGGAUGGACUCGCGGCUUAUCAGCUUGUUGGUGGGGUAGUGGCUUACCAAGGCUUUGACGGGUAGCCGGCCUGAGAGGGUGACCGGCCACAUUGGGACUGAGAUACGGCCCAGACUCCUACGGGAGGCAGCAGUGGGGAAUAUUGCACAAUGGGCGGAAGCCUGAUGCAGCAACGCCGCGUGCGGGAUGACGGCCUUCGGGUUGUAAACCGCCUUCGCCUGUGACGAAGCGUGAGUGACGGUAAUGGGUAAAGAAGCACCGGCUAACUACGUG